rnacentral:lncRNA from 1 species
AUCUGACUUCGUGAUCUGGCCAGAAACUUCUAAUUCAAUUUACAAAAAAAAAUGUGGUUUGCACACAGUUUUUUAGGAACAAACUCAUUAUACAAAAUGAGUCAUAAUCAUAAUGUAUUAUGCUUUCUUAUUAUUAGGUAACUUCAAAAUUGGUUGUCCACUCUUGAAGCUUAUUUUCAAUGGCCAAAUGAUCAGGAAGAGACAAUAAUGACCAGGACAAUAUGAAAAGGUACAGGAUCCCAGGUUGUACAGAAGUAGCCCUCACUGAUGAUAUGUCAGUUGUGGAAGGAGAGGAGGAGAGAGUUUCCUGUUUUGGGUAGGAAACGACAACAAAACUGUCCAUCUGCAAGUAUCUGUGGCAGUCUAAGUUUUCCGUGACAGUUAUCUUUGCCUUUAGCAUCUGCCCUAGUGAUGCAAGAGAAGAAGAAAAAGAAGAGGUGGGGAGAGAGUCUCAGACAGCAGCACUGCUUGGGAAGCAAAAGCAUUUUAUGAAUUCUUUCCCCAUCACUGUGGUUAAAAUUCUGACUUCCCCAUGGAACUCUUGCCCCAGAGCACAAUGACUUCUGGCCAGUGAUCUCCACUGUCAGCCACACAACAGAGUUUUGGUGUCUUUCAUUUAGUCUGGUAAGCCCAAUUAUGAAAGAGAAUUUACUGUACUAUUGGUGGCUCUUUAAUUUGGUAUCCUCUUCUAUAGCCAUAGCUCCUUUCAGGAAAUUCCAGAAGAGGAGUGGAUUAUGGUGGAAACUCCCAAACUAGAAAUCAGGAGACCUGGGCAGCAAUUCUUCAACUUCAACACACUUGCUAUGUGACACAGUUCUCUGACGCCAAAUAAUUUAGAAAUCUAUUUGAGCCUCAGCUUUUUGAGGACCAUCGUUACCCUCAUUUUGGAUCACAGAACUUAGAGAGCAUUACUCUAUCCCUUCAUCCUACACAUGGGAAAACUGAGUCCAGGAAAGCAGUGGUUUAUUCAAGUUUAUCCAUAUAUUAAGUAGAAAAGAAGAUUUUUGAAUCCAAUUGAAUAUUCUGACUCCAAAUUAGUUCCCUUUCUAUUGCACUGUAUUUAUUAGGCAAUAGUGGCCCAAGUACGUGAUGUGAUUUCCCCAAGGUUCCAUAGCAAAUGGAUUAUUGAGUUAAAAUCAGAAUCCAAGUCUCCUGGCUUGAAUCUAAUCAAUCAACAAGCAUUUAUUAAACAUCCACUAUAUGCCAGACCUAGUUCCAAGUGCUAACCUUAUAAAGACAAAAAAAAAAAACAUGACACAGUCCCUGUCCUCAGGCAUACAACUUAUAUUCUAUUAGUGUCCUUUUUCACACCAACCACGUGAUCUUGCAUACCUUCCUCCUCUUUCAAAAGAAUUUCCAACUAUCUCUAAGGUCAUUCUCAGCUCCAGAGUUCUGUGGUUUCCCAACAGAAGCUACCAACUGACAGGCUAGCUACAGAAAAUGUUGGUAGUGCCUCCUACCUUCUAUUUUACUUCUCAAAUCAUUCACUGCCAAAUGAGCUGCAAUGCUAGCUAGGGACCCACCAUUUAAAAAUAAUCAACAUGUUGAUUAAAUUCAAGGUAACCUAAAAUUAGAGAAAGGCCUGAAAGGAACUGAAAGAAGCCCUUAUGUUUUAUUAUAGCAAAUAAAGCAAAAGUUAAUUAAAGGCA